rnacentral:rRNA from 1 species
GACGGAGGAUGCAAGCGUUAUCCGGAAUGAUUGGGCGUAAAGCGUCUGCAGGUGGCAGUUCAAGUCUGCUGUCAAAGACCGGGGCUUAACUUCGGAAAGGCAGUGGAAACUGAACAGCUAGAGUAUGGUAGGGGCAGAGGGAAUUCCUGGUGUAGCGGUGAAAUGCGUAGAGAUCAGGAAGAACAUCGGUGGCGAAGGCGCUCUACUGGACCGCAACUGACACUCAGGGACGAAAGCUAGGGGAGCGAAUGGG